AACGAACGCUGGCGGCAUGCCUAACACAUGCAAGUCGAACGAGACCUUCGGGUCUAGUGGCGCACGGGUGCGUAACGCGUGGGAACCUGCCCUUAGGUUCGGAAUAACUCCCCGAAAGGGGUGCUAAUACCGGAUAAUGUCUUCGGACCAACGAUUUAUCGCCUUUGGAUGGGCCCGCGUUGGAUUAGCUAGUUGGUAGGGUAAAAGCCUACCAAGGCGACGAUCCAUAGCUGGUCUGAGAGGAGGAUCAGCCACACUGGGACUGAGACACGGCCCAGACUCCUACGGGAGGCAGCAGUGGGGAAUAAUGGACAAUGGGCGAAAGCCUGAUCCAGCAAUGCCGCGUGAGUGAUGAAGGCCUUAGGGUUGUAAAGCUCUUUUACCCGGGAUGAUAAUGACAGUACCGGGAGAAUAAGCGCCGGCUAACUCCGUG
rnacentral:rRNA from 1 species